rfam:Alligator mississippiensis ScZkoYb_2987, whole genome shotgun sequence.
GUUCUGUGAUGAAUAGAAAACAGACAAGCAUAUGGCUGAGUGUCCCUGAUGCCAGCUUCCUUCUGAGAAC